rnacentral:rRNA from 1 species
UUGAUCUCAAAUCAGGUAGGACUACCCGCUGAACUUAAGCAUAUCAAUAAGCGGAGGAAAAGAAACUAACAAGGAUUCCCCUAGUAACUGCGAGUGAAGCGGGAAGAGCUCAAAUUUAAAAUCUGACGUGCCUCUGGUCGUCCGAGUUGUAGUCUGGAGAAGCGUCUUCCGUGUUGGACCGUGUAUAAGUCUCUUGGAACAGGGCGUCAUAGAGGGUGAGAAUCCCGUCUUUGACACGGACUACCAAUGCUUUGUGAUGCGCUCUCAAAGAGUCGAGUUGUUUGGGAAUGCAGCUCAAAAUGGGUGGUAAAUUCCAUCUAAAGCUAAAUAUAGGCGAGAGACCGAUAGCGAACAAGUACCGUGAGGGAAAGAUG